rnacentral:lncRNA from 1 species
CCCAGAUAGCUUAGAUCUGAGCGCAAAUUAUUACUGAAUGGCGCUCAGAUCACAUAUAUACAGUUCAAUUGCCAUGGAGCCAAAGUCUUUCACAUAGUCUUUCGUUAUACGAAUGGGCUCCAUGGCAUAGCUAUCUGGGGUAACACUGCUCACAUAGGGAAAGUACCGAAUGCCCCGGCUUUCGGGUCUUUGCAGGGGAAAAUCCAGCAUUUCAACAUGGG